AUGCACCUUGGAAAUCUCGUCCUCACUGUCUUCCUGGGGCAACUGCUGGGCACCAUGGGGCAGACCACCGUCACCCAGCAAGAAGGACAAGUCACAGUGAAGCAGGGAGACACCUUCCAAACAACCUGCACAUACCAGACCUCUGAAUUUGGCGGCUUGCUCUGGUACCAGCAGAGGAAAGGCCAAGGUCCCCAGCUGCUCUCAUAUCAGGCAGCAGCUGGCCGCAAGCCGAGCGGCCGUCUCACCACGUCGCUGAACACCACAGGGAAAUACAGCCUCCUGCAGCUGGAGGAAGUCGAGGUCUCUGACAGUGCCUUGUACCUCUGUGCUGUGCAAGACACCCUGGUGCAGGGAGCUUCCUUGGCUGUGCAAGAAGCCAGGGGAGGGAGGACAUCAGUUUACGCAGACAGGGUCUUACAUGUUCCCAUAGCACACUACAUGAAGGUGUAG